UACGUAGGGGACGAGCGUUGUCCGGAAUUACUGGGCGUAAAGGGCGCGCAGGCGGUAUAUCAAGUCAGCUGUCAAAGACUGGGGCUCAACCCUGGUAUGCGGUUGAAACUGAUAUGCUGGAGUGCUGUAGAGGCAAGUGGAAUUCCCAGUGUAGCGGUGAAAUGCGUAGAUAUUGGGAAGAACCCGGUGGCGAAGGCGACUUGCUGGGCAGCAACUGACGCUGAGGCGCGAAAGCCAGGGGAGCAGACGGGAUUA
rnacentral:rRNA from 1 species